GGUUAAGUGACUAAGCGUACACGGUGGAUGCCUUGGCAGUCAGAGGCGAUGAAAGACGUAGUAACUUGCGAUAAGCCCAGAUUAGGUAGUAACAACCAUUUGAGUCUGGGAUUUCUGAAUGGGGAAACCCACGUGCAUAAGCACGUAUCCUUACCUGAAUACAUAGGGUAAGGAGGCGAACCGGGGGAACUGAAACAUCUAAGUACCCCGAGGAAAAGAAAUCAACCGAGAUUCCGAAAGUAGCGGCGAGCGAAAUUGGACUAGCCCUUAAGCUUUACACGCGUUAGACGAACGGUCUGGAAAGUCCGACGAUACAGGGUGAUAGUCCCGUAGUUGACGACGUGUGUUCAGUGAAAUCGAGUAGGGCGGGACACGUGAUAUCCUGUCUGAAUAUGGGGGGACCAUCCUCCAAGGCUAAAUACUACUGACUGACCGAUAGUGAACCAGUACCGUGAGGGAAAGGCGAAAAGAACCCCUGUGAGGGGAGUGAAAUAGAACCUGAAACCGUGUACGUACAAGCAGUAGGAGCAGGCUUUGUCCUGUGACUGCGUACCUUUUGUAUAAUGGGUCAGCGACUUAUAUUCAGUGGCAAGGUUAACCAUCUAGGGGAGCCGUAGGGAAACCGAGUCUUAACUGGGCGUUCAGUCUCUGGAUAUAGACCCGAAACCAGGUGAUCUAGCCAUGGGCAGGUUGAAGGUUGAGUAACAUCAACUGGAGGACCGAACCGACUAAUGUUGAAAAAUUAGCGGAUGACUUGUGGCUAGGGGUGAAAGGCCAAUCAAACCUGGAGAUAGCUGGUUCUCCCCGAAAGCUAUUUAGGUAGCGCCUCGGACGAAUACUACUGGGGGUAGAGCACUGUUAAGGCUAGGGGGUCAUCCCGACUUACCAACCCUUUGCAAACUCCGAAUACCAGUAAGUACUAUCCGGGAGACACACGGCGGGUGCUAACGUCCGUCGUGGAGAGGGAAACAACCCAGACCGCCAGCUAAGGUCCCAAAUUACUACUAAGUGGGAAACGAUGUGGGAAGGCUCAGACAGCCAGGAUGUUGGCUUAGAAGCAGCCAUCAUUUAAAGAAAGCGUAAUAGCUCACUGGUCGAGUCGGCCUGCGCGGAAGAUGUAACGGGGCUAAGUAGUAAACCGAAGCUGCGGCAAUGUGCUUUUGCACAUUGGGUAGGGGAGCGUUCUGUAAGCGGUUGAAGGUGUGUGGUAACGCAUGCUGGACGUAUCAGAAGUGCGAAUGCUGACAUGAGUAACGAUAAAGGGGGUGAAAAACCUCCUCGCCGGAAGACCAAGGGUUCCUGUCCAACGUUAAUCGGGGCAGGGUAAGUCGACCCCUAAGGCGAGGCCGAAAGGCGUAGUCGAUGGGAAACGGGUUAAUAUUCCCGUACUUCUUACAAUUGCGAUGGGGGGACGGAGAAGGCUAGGUGGGCCUGGCGACGGUUGUCCAGGUUCAAGUGCGUAGGCUUGAGAGUUAGGUAAAUCCGGCUCUUUUUAAGGCUGAGACACGACGUCGAGCACCUACGGGUGUGAAGUCAUUGAUGCCAUGCUUCCAGGAAAAGCCUCUAAGCUUCAGAUUGUAAGGAAUCGUACCCCAAACCGACACAGGUGGUCGGGUAGAGAAUACCAAGGCGCUUGAGAGAACUCGGGUGAAGGAACUAGGCAAAAUGGUACCGUAACUUCGGGAGAAGGUACGCUCUUGAUGGUGAAGUCCCUUGCGGAUGGAGCUGACGAGAGUCGCAGAUACCAGGUGGCUGCAACUGUUUAUUAAAAACACAGCACUGUGCAAAAUCGUAAGAUGACGUAUACGGUGUGACGCCUGCCCGGUGCCGGAAGGUUAAUUGAUGGGGUUAGACUUCGGUCGAAGCUCUUGAUCGAAGCCCCGGUAAACGGCGGCCGUAACUAUAACGGUCCUAAGGUAGCGAAAUUCCUUGUCGGGUAAGUUCCGACCUGCACGAAUGGCGUAAUGAUGGCCACGCUGUCUCCACCCGAGACUCAGUGAAAUUGAAAUCGCUGUGAAGAUGCAGUGUACCCGCGGCUAGACGGAAAGACCCCGUGAACCUUUACUACAGCUUGGCACUGAACAUUGACCCUACAUGUGUAGGAUAGGUGGGAGGCUUUGAAGCAGGUACGCCAGUAUCUGUGGAGCCGUCCUUGAAAUACCACCCUUGUAGUGUUGAUGUUCUAACGUCGACCCCUUAUCGGGGUUGCGGACAGUGCCUGGUGGGUAGUUUGACUGGGGCGGUCUCCUCCCAAAGAGUAACGGAGGAGCACGAAGGUGGGCUAAUCACGGUUGGACAUCGUGAGGUUAGUGCAAUGGCAUAAGCCCGCUUGACUGCGAGAAUGACAAUUCGAGCAGGUGCGAAAGCAGGUCAUAGUGAUCCGGUGGUUCUGAAUGGAAGGGCCAUCGCUCAACGGAUAAAAGGUACUCCGGGGAUAACAGGCUGAUACCGCCCAAGAGUUCAUAUCGACGGCGGUGUUUGGCACCUCGAUGUCGGCUCAUCACAUCCUGGGGCUGAAGUCGGUCCCAAGGGUAUGGCUGUUCGCCAUUUAAAGUGGUACGCGAGCUGGGUUUAGAACGUCGUGAGACAGUUCGGUCCCUAUCUGCCGUGGGCGUUGGAAGAUUGAAGGGGGCUGCUCCUAGUACGAGAGGACCGGAGUGGACGAACCUCUGGUGUUCGGGUUGUGUCGCCAGACGCAUUGCCCGGUAGCUAAGUUCGGAAUCGAUAACCGCUGAAAGCAUCUAAGCGGGAAGCGAGCCCUGAGAUGAGUCUUCCCUGAUACUUUAAGUAUCCUAAAGGGUUGUCGGAGACUACGACGUUGAUAGGUCAGGUGUGUAAGUGCUGUGAGGCAUUGAGCUAACUGAUACUAAUUGCCCGUGAGGCUUAACCAU
rnacentral:rRNA from 1 species